rnacentral:rRNA from 1 species
ACCAUAUAAAAUUUAAAUUAACCAUAAUUUAUUUCUUUAUAUGGUAUAAUAAAAUCGGAGGCCACGACUGUUUACUAAAAACACAAUUCAGAGCAAUGAUUAAGAUAAUAGUAUUCUGAAUGAAAUUUGCUCAAUGCCAUUAAUAUAAGAGAGGUAAUUUUAAAGUUACUAAUUGAAAGUCUGGUUAAUAGCGGUCUUAACUAUGAGGAUCCUAAGGUAGCAAAAUAAAUUGGCCAUUAAAUGUGGUCUAGUAUCAAUAAUGUAACGAUGGNCUCACUGUCUCUACA